UACGUAGGGAGCAAGCGUUGUCCGGAAUCAUUGGGCGUAAAGCGCGCGUAGGCGGCCCCGUAAGUCCGCUGUGAAAGUCAAAGGCUCAACCUUUGAAAGCCGGUGGAUACUGUGGGGCUAGAGUCCGGAAGAGGCGAGUGGAAUUCCUGGUGUAGCGGUGGAAUGCGCAGAUAUCAGGAGGAACACCGGUGGUGUAGACGGCUCUCUGGACCAUAACUGACGCUGAGACACGAAAGCGUGGGUAGCAAACAGG
rnacentral:rRNA from 1 species